GUGUGUCAAAUUUGCCACCUCCCAGAGCUGCUCCAAAACUUCUUUGACUGCUUCCAUCCCUGUAUGAGUGGCCCAUAUAAUGUUUAAUGAAAUUAUCACUGGCAUCCCAGAAACUUCAACAUUUAACAUCCGCCUGCCAAAGUGUCUACAUCUCAACAUUUUGGUUAGAACUGAUCACUUUAUUUGCUGCAGGACUGAAGCUGUCUUGAUAUCUACAAUACAUUGGACACUGCAUGCAGGAUUAUGAAUGGAUACCUGAACACUGCUUGAAGGAGCAAGCUCUACAGCAUCACUUAUGCUCCUUUCCAUGGGUUGGCAAGAGGAACCGUGGCACGCAACUCUACAGGCACCUGUGCUCUUCACUACCUUCGGAGGAGAGAUGCAUUGAAUGCUCCCUAUCAUGCACUGCCAUCUCAACAGUACCAUGGCUUUUUGUGUGGAUUCCUUCCCUUUUGAAGGCCACCACUGUUUGCACAGCAUCACAGCCUGCCUGCCUUGAUCUUGCGGAAGAAGAAAAUACAAAAUGCCUAUUUUUUGAAAUGCAUGCAUGGCUUCAUGCAACACCACCUGUCGUCGGGGUGUUAAGGCUUUUUGCAGAGAAAAUGUAAUGACGCCUUAUGUGUGCCCUGGUGGCAAAGUGUUUGCCUCUUUGCCUGUGUAAAAAUUUCACACUUAUGGAUACUGUUAAAGGUUCCUGUAUCAUAUUUUCUUUCACAUCCUAAGAAAUUUUUGUUUCAUUAUAAAACUAAAAAUUAUAGUUGAAUUGCUGCUUUGUGUGAUAUGCAAUAUUCAGCUGAAGGUGAUCAGCAGAGGUCGAACAAGUGUUAUGUCAGGUGGAGAAAUUUUUUUGAGAAGUGGACUUCUUCGUUAGGGUAACAAUCGUUUUCCUUGGCAGUAUUUAUAUAGUUCACUUUUCUCCACUCCAUGGAUAUCCAGCAAAAUGAGUGAGUGCAUAGAGAAGGUGAGGUAAGUUUAAAUGCUCACCAUGGGGGUUUAGUUGGGGUAGCAAGGUGUGUAGAAGUAUGGGAGUUUGGCAGGUUGCUGGCACCAAUUUCUAUGAGUGAUCUUGUUGUUUGUGUCUAUGUCAGUUAUAUAAUGCGAGGCGUCUUCUGAUGCCAGAAAUUUUGAAAAAAAAAAACUCCUUAUAUUUGUGGAAAUUCAGUAUGUGCCCCGGGGGCUACUACGAGCACUUGGGGCCACUGGGUAGAUGCAGCUCUCCAAUGAACUUUUUUGACACAAACUUGUGUAUGUACGCUGGGUGUGUGCCACUGCAUAUGUGCCACUCUUUAAUGAACCUCUUUGAUGCUGACUUAGGUCAUGGGGCAUCACAACACAAACCUAUGUAGCGACAUCUGUGUAUGCAAGUAAGUGUGAGCUGGAAUUGUCUGCUUGGAUUUUCUUUUCCUGAUGACGACUAGUCCCCUUGUUGAAUUAACUUCAGCCUGAGAUAUCACCUGUUUGUCUACUGUUAUAACAUUAUGCCCAUUUUGCUGUGAACUUGUCAUGUUCUCUAGCUGGCAAGCUUGAAUUUCAGGUGCUGCACGCUAAGGAAAUUGAUUCAGAGUGGGUGGUACCACUUCUGCUUUUUCUUUGCAGCUGUGUGUUACAUGAGUUGUACGUAGAUGUCUAUUAGAAAUAGCAUAGUUAUUCAAAGGUACUUUCAUUAUGUUCUAGGUCAUUGGUGCUGUCUGGCCUCCUUUGCAUCAUUUUUUGUAGCAUGCUUUUUACAUGCAAAAACAAAUGUGGCCUGUUCUAAUGCAUGCAAGGACUGCCCAAUAGCUCAUGAUGUUUUGAGCCGCUGAAUUUCAGUCUUGGCUGCACUUGUGGAUUUUCAACUGUACUGAAGCUUGCAAUAUGCUUGAAUUUCCUGUCAAACUGGUUUGCUUGUUUGUAUCCAAUUUAUUGAAUUAUUUCACUUUCAUUAUGCUAAUAGUCAUUGAUUGUACUAUCAUGCUGGCACAUUUGAUUCUGGAACUGCAAUAAAUUUCCAGACAUUUUA